AGUUUGAUUAUGGCUCAGAUUGAACGCUGGCGGGAUGCUUUACACAUGCAAGUCGAACGGUGCACGUGACUUCGGUCUGGUGGCGAGUGGCGAACGGGGUGAGCAAUGUAUCGCGCGGAAAUGUGCCUAGUAGCGGGGAUAACUACGCGAAAGCGUAGCUAAUACCGCAUACGCCCUUCGGGGCAGACUACCGCACUAUUAGAGCGGCUGAUAUCGAUUGAAGCAUUGGUGGGCAGCCCGGCCUCACCAAGGGCGACGAUCCGCAGCUGGUUUGAGAGGACGACCAGCCACACUGGGACUGAGACACGGCCCAGACUACGGAGGCAGCAGUAAAUUUGGACAAUGGGGGAAUCCUGAUCCGUUUCAUCCUGUGCAAAGUGACAGAAGGCUCUGGGUUGUAAAGCACUUUGGCAGGAAGAAACGGCACGGGAUAAUACCCCGCAACUGACGGUACCUGCAGAAUGCCACCAUGACCACGCCACACAGCAGCCGCGGUAAUACAGGGGUGCAAGCGUUAACGGAAUCUCAUCAGCGUAGCAAAAGUAUGGCCCGGAAAGAAAGAUGUGAAAUCCCAGAGCUUAACUUGGAACUGCAUUUUUAACCCACUGAGCUAUGUCAGAGGGAGGUGGAAUUCCGCGUAGCAGUGAAAUGCGUAGAUAUGCGGAGGAACACCGAUGGCGAAGGCAGCCUCCUGGGAUAACACUGACGCUCAUGCACGAAAGCGUGGGAGCAAACAGGAUUAGAUGACCUGGUAUCCACGCCCAAAUGAUGUCAACUAGGCUGUUGGGGCCUUCGGGCCUUGGUAGCGCAGCUAACGGGCAUAAAGUGACCGCCUGUGAGUACGGUCGCAAGAUUAAAACUCCCAAAGAAUUGAUUUGGGACCCGCACAAGCGGUGGAUGAUGUGGAUUAAUCUUUGAUGCAACGCGAAAACCUUACCUACCCUUGACAUGUCUGGAAUCCCGAAGAGAUUUGGGAGGCCUGCAAGAGAACCGGAACACAGGUGCUGCAUGGCUGUCGUCAGCUCGUGUCGAGAUGUUGGGUUGGAGUCCCGCAACGAGCGUAAACUUCUGUCAUUAUUGCUACGAAAGGGCACUCUAAUGAGACUGCCGAACCGGAGGAAGGUGGGGAUGACGUCAAGUCCUCAUGGCCUUACAGGGGCUUCACACGUCAUACAAUGGUCGGGACAAGAGGGCCGCCAAUCCGGCGAGGGGAGUUGUCCCAGAAACCUGAUCGGGUCUGAUCGCAGGUCUGUAAACCUGACUGCGCAAGCUGGAAUCAGCAGUAACGGUGACCAGCAGCGAAACGCGGUGAAUACGUUCCCGGUCUUGUACACCGCCCGCCGCACCAUAGAGUGGGUUUACCAGAAGUAGUUAGCCUAACCGUAAGGAGGCGAUUACCACUGUAGAUUCAUGACUGAAGAAGUCGUAACAAGGUAGCCCCAGCAUUACCUACGUGC
rnacentral:rRNA from 1 species